CGCCAGGCAUACGUGAAUAUGGCCCGGACAAA
rnacentral:scRNA from 1 species